GCUCAACCGUGGAGGGUCAUUGGAAACUGGGAAACUUGAGUGCAGAAGAGGAAAGUGGAAUUCCAUGUGUAGCGGUGAAAUGCGCAGAGAUAUGGAGGAACACCAGUGGCGAAGGCGACUUUCUGGUCUGUAACUGACGCUGAUGUGCGAAAGCGUGGGGAUCAAACAGGAUUAGAUACCCUGGUAGUCCACGCCGUAAGCGAUGAGUGCUAAGUGUUAGGGGGUUUCCGCCCCUUAGUGCUGCAGCUAACGCAUUAAGCACUCCGCCUGGGGAGUACGACCGCAAGGUUGAAACUCAAAGGAAUUGACGGGGACCCGCACAAGCGGUGGAGCAUGUGGUCUAAUUCGAAGCAACGCGAAGAACCUUACCAAAUCUUGACGUCCUUUGACCACUCUAGAGAUAGAGCUUUCCCCUUCGGGGGACAAAGUGACAGGUGGUGCAUGGUUGUCGUCAGCUCGUGUCGUGAGAUGUUGGGUUAAGUCCCGCAACGAGCGCAACCCUUAAGCUUAGUUGCCAUCAUUAAGUUGGGCACUCUAGGUUGACUGCCGGUGACAAACCGGAGGAAGGUGGGGAUGACGUCAAAUCAUCAUGCCCCUUAUGAUUUGGGCUACACACGUGCUACAAUGGACAAUACAAAG
rnacentral:rRNA from 1 species